GCAAGUGAGUCUGGCAAUUCGAGCAGGUGGUUCCGGCGUGCUUGGCUGGUGGUUCAGUCAGGUAUGGCAGGUGGUUCUGGUCUGUCCGGGAGAUGGUUCCAGCGUGUCCGCCACGUGGUUCCAGCACGUCGGUGAGGUGGUUCCAGCAAGGCCAUCAGGUGAUUCCAGAGAUUCUGCCAAGUGGUUGUGGCGUAGCCGGCAGGUGAUUUUGGCAUGUCCGGCAGGUCGUUGCGGCGAGUCGAGCAGGUGGUUCCGGCAUGCUUGGCAGGUGCUUCCGGUAUCUUUUGCACGUGGUUCUGGCAUGUCUGAGAGCUGGUUUCGGCAUGCACGGCAGGUGGUUCCGGUCUGUCCGGCAGGUGGUUCAGGCAUGUCCGGCAGGCGUUUUUGCAUGUCUGGUGGUGCUUCCGGGGAGUCGAGGAGGUGGUUCCGGCGUGUCCGGCAGGUGAUUUUGGCAUGUCCGGCAGAUGGUUCUGUGGAGUGGAUCAGGUGGUUCCUGUGUGCUCGACAGGUGGUUCAGGAGGGUCCGGCAGGUCGUUCAGGUCUGUCUGGGAUGUGGUUCCGGUGUCUCAGGCACAUGGUUCUGGCACGUCUGAG
rnacentral:lncRNA from 1 species